rnacentral:rRNA from 1 species
UACGGAGGGUGCAAGCGUUAUUCGGAAUCACUGGGCGUAAAGGGCGUGUAGGCGGACACUUAAGUCUGGUUUUAAAGACUGCGGCUCAACCGCAGGGAUGGACUGGAUACUGGGUGUCUUGACCUCUGGAGAGAGAACUGGAAUUCCUGGUGUAGCGGUGGAAUGCGUAGAUACCAGGAGGAACACCAAUGGCGAAGGCGGGUUCUUGGACAGAAGGUGACGCUGAGGCGCGAAAGUGUGGGGAGCGAACCGG